rnacentral:rRNA from 1 species
GAUGAACGCUGGCGGCGUGCCUAAUACAUGCAAGUCGAGCGAACGGACGAGGAGCUUGCUCCUCUGAUGUUAGCGGCGGACGGGUGAGUGACACGUGGAUAACCUACCUAUAAGACUGGGAUAACUUCGGGAAACCGGAGCUAAUACCGGAUAAUAUUUUGAACCGCAUGGUUCAAAAGUGAAAGACGGUCUUGCUGUCACUUAUAGAUGGAUCCGCGCUGCAUUAGCUAGUUGGUAAGGUAACGGCUUACCAAGGCAACGAUGCAUAGCCGACCUGAGAGGGUGAUCGGCCACACUGGAACUGAGACACGGUCCAGACUCCUACGGGAGGCAGCAGUAGGGAAUCUUCCGCAAUGGGCGAAAGCCUGACGGAGCAACGCCGCGUAAGUGAUGAAGGUCUUCGGAUCGUAAAACUCUGUUAUUAGGGAAGAACAUAUGUGUAAGUAACUGUGCACAUCUUGACGGUACCUAAUCAGAAAGCCACGGCUAACUACGUG